AGCGAACGCUGGCGGCAGGCCUAACACAUGCAAGUCGAGCGGCCGUCCUGUUGGUGUCAGCGGCUGACGGGGGCGUAACGCGUGGGAGCGUGCCCUUCGGUUCGGAAUAACUUUGCGAAACUUGAACUAAUAGCGGACAUGCGCGAGAGCCGAAUGGGUCAUAUGACUUAGAACGGGCCCGCGUCUGAUUAUGUAGUUUUUGAGGUUACGGCGCACCAUGGGCAGGAUCAGUAGCUGGUCUGAGAGGAUGAUCAGACACACUGGGACUGGGAAACGGCGCGGAAUACUACGGGAGGCAGCAGUGGGGGAUAUUGGAAAAUGGCGGCAAUGCAGAAGCAGUCAUGCCGCGUGAGUGAUGACGGUCGUAGGGUAGUAAAGCUCUUUACUCCGGGACGGUAAUGACGGUACCGAAGGAAUAAGCCCCGGCUAACUUCGUG
rnacentral:rRNA from 1 species